GAUGAAGAACGCAGCGAAAUGCGAUACGUAAUGUGAAUUGCAGAAUUCAGUGAAUCAUCGAAUCUUUGAACGCAUAUUGCGCUCUCUGGUAUUCCGGAGAGCAUGCUUGUUUGAGUAUCAGUAAACACCUCAACUUCCAUAUCUUUUUUGAAAUGGGAGUUGGACUUGAGUGAUCCCAACGCUUUUCCUCACCGAAAAGUGGCGGGUUACUUGAAAUGCAGGUGCAGCUGGACUUUUCUCUGAGCUAUAAGCAUAUCUAUUUAGUCUGCCUAAAAAACAGAUUAUUGCCUUUGCUGCAGCUAACAUAAAGGAGAUUAGUUCUUGUGCUGACUGAUGCAGGAUUCACAAAGACAGGCUUCGGCCGACUUUGUAAACUCGAUCUCAAAUCAAGUAAGACUACCCGCUGAACUUAAGCAUAUCAAUAAGCGGAGGA
rnacentral:misc_RNA from 1 species